rnacentral:sRNA from 1 species
CCAAUUUUGAACAAACGGUACUUACGAAAAACUAUUACGAAUAAGAAGACAAAGAGCGAAAACAGCAGACAAAGACUAAGCAUUUUUGUUGUAUUAUUGCGUUUCUGUUUACUUGUACUUUUAAUAUUCAAAAAGUGUUUUUAAGGCCUUAGAAAUUUAACGAUGGUUUUAAGGCUUGCGUUUUCCAAAUGUUCGCCAUUCCUCUACUAGAAUAAAUAAGCACGACUAUUAAUACGGAAAUUUAUAUAGACUUAUUAAACACUUCCUCUUUUGUAGUUACAAUACAUUCAGAAUUGCUCAAUAGAACUUUUCUUUAUAAUUAGUCCGGGAAAUAAUCCAGAGUAAGUUUCCGAAAUUAUUGUAUCAUAAAUAUUUUAAAAUACUUGGUUUGGAAAACAUCCAGACGCCUUUUAGGUAAUGCUUACAGAAGCCUUUUCCGGAAUGAAUUAAGAAUCCUUUUAAGGAGUGCUUACAGAUGCG